AUGCUUAUUGACAGCUUGUUGAAUCUGCAGAAAUUGCAGGUACGGUAGCAGCGGAAGAUUGAUUUUGGGAUAGUUUGUCGGAUUGGGUCGGGGCAGAUUUGAUAAGUUUCUGAUCGAAAAAAAAUUGAUGGAAAAGCUAAGGUAAUCAGCUGGAACAACAAGCUCUGAGAUUUCAAAAGCUUGCAGAAGGUAAGGCAACAAAUUCUGGGAUUACAGAGUUUGCAGGUGAGGUAAGGCAAUAAGCUCUGAGAUUACAGAAGCUUUGUAGGUAAGGUAAGGCCCAGCAACUCUGAGAUUACAGAAGCUGCUGCAAGUGCAUAUCAGAAAUACCUUCUAAAUAUUUCCUAGGAUUGUAUAUGCUCUGAUACCGUGACAAAUGGUAAUAUCAGUUAUGU
rnacentral:lncRNA from 1 species